rnacentral:ncRNA from 1 species
CUUCAAGAGACCCGGUCGCCAAGCUCCGACUUGACCGGGCACCAACCCCAUGUUCACGGGUGGUUCGGAUGAGGAAGCGGCUCGCAACCGCCGCCGCGGCGGCACCCGGUGCGAGCAAGAGCACAGC